UGCUUCAAUCAAAAAGAAAAUUAGAAAGCCCACCUGGCAUUUGCUGUGGUCAAACAGAGGGACCAACAUGUCAUUCAGUCAAAUGAGACCUCGAACAUCACAGCUGGUGGAGCUUCAUGUUUUUUAUGUCCCAGCAGAAGUGUGGAACUUCAAGCUGAAUACAGUUCCUGUAGCUCUUACUAGCAAAUUCAUCUCAGCUGGAUUUAUAAGAUGUAUUAAUGAAUGACAACAUUCUAGGGUGUCUCCUCACAUCACAAUAAGAGUGCUGCGGGAGAAGCUUGGAGAAUACCUGGGUGGAGUGAUAGUUGCAGAUAAAUUCAAAUUUUUAAAAUGCAUUGGGAAAAAACUAGUAGUGGUAAGUUAAUAUUUUUUUUUUCUUGAGCACUCUUCUGUUUUAUAAUGUAAAGGAGAUAUUUCAUUCCUGUAGAUGAGAUAAUAUCACAUAAAGUAGAGAUAACUUUAGGAGCACUGUUAGCACUUCUUUUAAACAUGCUGCAGCAUAAGCUCUUGUCAGAGCACAUCUACUUCCCCAAGUGCAAAGGCACAGCUGGACAGUUAUAUUAGCAAUACCCUUUAAAGCAAGGUGUAAUUAGUUGCCAUCCAGUGAAAAGAUGCUAGUAUUGAUAAAUCCAUGGAUUAAAUAUGAUAAAUCUGGUUACAUUACAAAAAACCCCAAACUCGUAAGUUCAUUAUUACCUGCAUAUGGUUGGGAAUAUGGCAGUUGAUGAAUUAGCAAUGGAAGCUCAGUCAGAGUUCCUCUAAUGGCUGCUGCUGUGACCUGCCCAAAAGCAUUUAAGACAUCAUUCUCUGAAUGGAAACUUCUCUGGAUUUUCCACUGUUUAGUCCAAUAAUAUAGCCUGAGAUGCAAGUAGUAAAACCCCUGCAUGGGUGAAUCAUAACUGUUUCUCACAUUGAUUCUAUAUGUAUAUUUAUAUCUUACAAAUUAUAGCUUAAGAUUAAACAAACUUGAAAAUUAGUCCAACAGAAAGUUUGUUGAUGUAAUACACAAAGAUUUAAGUAAUUUUUGUAAGUAUGGAGUACUUUUUCCAUGUCUCAUUUCACCUGUUUCUCAUGGAUUUGGAAAUUAACUACAAGCAGGAAAUUUGGUGCCAUUCUUUAUUUCAUUUCUAGUUGAAUUAUCACUAAAAUAGUGAUAAUUCUCUCACAGAAGACUAGAAUAAAUACUAAGUAAUAUGCUAAAACUAGGUGGAAAGACAUGAAAAGAAACUUAAAAGACUGUGGUACAAUCUAAAUUGGAAAGUAUGCUUAUGUUUUCAAUGAAUUCAGGUCUUUUUAACUGGAUGAUGAUAAUAAGUAAGAUGGUGUAUUUUCUUGCCCACAUAGUUUGGAGAUAAAUGGAGAAAUUUUUCAGCCUCCUUUAUAAUGUCAGCAGAUGAAUAAAAUGUUUUAUGUUAAUAGAGAAUUAAAGAUACUGGUAAUCUACAUGAAGAUUUAGAGACAAAUUAAAGGUACAGGUUUACUUU
rnacentral:lncRNA from 13 species